AACUGCCCCCACGACGGAGUGCCAUUUGAAUCCCCUCGCCUCGCUACCCUCUCUCAUUCUUGGACAGCCACCAAGCGCCCUCGUCGUGUUCACCUCCCCACGCAACUGUCGCGUGUUUGCUGCUCGCAAAGUCGCGCCCUCGCCUCACCGGAGCGGUCCCUGAAGCCUCGCCGCGUCCGUGUUCCGCCCUCGCUAUUCGAGGUAAGUUUCUCCCCUUGUCUACUCUCCCUCUCGACAUACGCCAUCUACCCCUGCACCGGCGAGACCCCUGCUCGCGCUCCUAGCCCCUCGGCGCGGCGAGCUCUCCCAUCCCCAGUGCCCAGACCAAAGUAGACCCCAUCGGCCCUGUGUCGCGUCCUCCCCUCCCUGCACACUCAUGCUCCGCCGUGCUGCUGCCGUUGAAAAGCAUCUGCGCUGCCCGCUCGUUCCAUCUCUGUCGAGCCGCCAGCGAGCCCCGCUCGCAGCCCCCGCGGCCCCACCAUGCCAUGGCUGCUGCGUUGCUGCAGCCACCCCAGCCAUGCACGCCGCUCUAGUGCUGUCGCCCUGCCCUUGCCGCCACGCUGCCGGACAUGCUUCGGUGAACUAUCUGCGAGCCGUUGUCGUCACUGUCCUUUUUUCCUCUGGCUAGCGAGCGUCGAUCUGUUGCCUGUGCCACGAGCAGUGUGCUCCCGUCGUGCGAACGUGCGGUAGAAAGAAUGGAACCGUCCUCUCCCAUACGUGGCUAGGUGGCAAUUUCUUUUUGGCCAUUGGUUGUGCGGAAUUGUAUGUGGCUGUUUUUCUAGUGGUCUCCCCCGGCCAAUCAGAACGCGUUGGUUCAUUUAAUUCUGAAUCGUUCUAAUUGCGUUAACUUCGUAAUAAUGUUGCCUACAUGUUAACAAUAUUAUUUUAUCAUGACAUAUGUUUUAUUUAAUUAAUGAAUUAUUUGUGUAUCAAUUAGUUAUUAAAAUAUCUUUCUAAUUAAAACUAAGUUAUAGUUUUAAUUUGCGUAUUUAUAAAUUCAUGUUAAUGUGAUAACGCCAACUCAAAUGUCUUUUAACCAUGACUUGUUUAGUAUAAACGCGAUAUUUGUUAGCGAUUUUCGCGUGUCAAGUGUGCUGUUCACACGCGUCGUCGUGUCGUUUACGUGUGUCGCGCGCGCUCGUUUUUGUGGGUGUCGUCCGCGUCGUCUCACGUCGUGUCGUUCGCGCGCUGUUCGUGUGGCGUCGCGCGCGUUAUUUCACGUGUCGCACGACAUCUGUGCGUGAUAAUAAAUUGUUUUCACUUAUAAUCACUCAUGAUAAUUAAUUAAUUAUACUUGUGUAGCCGUUAACUAUUAAAAUAUCAAGUUAAGCGAAACUAAGCAGUUGUUUUAAUUUAUAUUUCAUAAAUGCCUGCUAAUAUGUUUAUGUCGAAACUAAAUAUUAUAAUUAAUACCUAUUUAGCGUAAACACGAUAUCUGUUACCAAUUCUCGCGUAUCGUCGCGUUGUUCGUGCGUCGUUCGCGUGUGUCGCACGUGCUGUUCUCGUUGUCGCGCGCCGUUCGCGUGUGUCGCGCGUCUUGCCGCGCGCCGUUCGCGCGUAUCGCGCGUUCGUGCUGCUCGUCUGGUUCGCGUGUUUUCACUUAUAAACACUCAUGUUUAUAACGUUAAUUUGUCAGGGUACAAAUUUUAGAUAAUUAACUUAAGGUUUGCUUGACUAAUAUUUAUUAGAUUAAUAUUCCAAGUAGAUUAAAUGUGUAGUGUUCCACUUGAGCUUUUAUAAUAAAUAUUGACCUGGCAAAUAUUAACUUAACUGCUUUUUAUUUAUUUAACAGUUGUUUAGUAUAAAACAUGUCAUCUAUUUAGUUUUUCUCGCUAGUCGCGCGUGCUGUUCCGCACGUGGUGGCGUGCUGAUUCGUGCGUCGUUCGCGCUGGUCGCGCGCACUAUUUCAUGUGUCAUCAGCAUGCUAUGUCCGCUCGUCGUUCCGCACGCCGUCGUGUUGCUUCGCUCGUCGUAAAUUUGCCUCGCUUAGAAUCCCUUACUUUAAUUAAAUAGUAGUUAUAAUUUAUAUUUCAUAACACCGAAUUAAAUGUCCUGGUUUAUAUUCGUUUAGUGUAAACGCAAUAACCUCUCGACCGUAGCUCCGCCUGUCGCGUUUCUUUUUUUCUUACGUGACCGUAGUAAUGUGCUCUAUUUCGUUUUUCAUAUUUUAUUAUGUUUUUAUUUGAAUUGUGUAAUGUUCUUAUGCAUAUAUAUAUGUUUGUUUGUUUGUGCCUGUUUGUAUUCGCUGUGUGUCGCGAAUAGACUGCGAACCAUUUUCGAGCUUCGAGGAAUCGAUAGUCAAGCUUCGGCGACCAAGUGAUCGAAUUCUUCGAGUUCUACGAGAUCGAAGACCCUGAGCAUCUGUUUGGCGAAGGCAAGUGUCCUCUGACCCAUUAUGUCCUAUCUAUUUAUAAUUCACUGUCCCGCACUACUUAAUUGAAACCUAAGGAUUGACUAGCUUUCUAUUUACCUUAACCUUGUUUAUCUUUUGGGUUAUCAUGGUUAGCUCUAUGCUAGUGCUUUACUUUAAUCAAUGAACAUGAUGAGAUACAAUGAUGAUACUAUGGUUUUAUUCUGGAUAUGAUGAUAUACUUGUGGCAUUUAGGGGACUCGGGCUGUUUCCCAAGUACCUCUCCGUAAGGACCUGUUCGUUGAGAGACCACCCGGGAUAACAGUGCAACCAUGAGGGUGAAAUGGGAUGCCCUUAGCUAAUUAAUUAGAGGAACUAGAGGUGUAGUCGCUUCGCCGUCGUGCCGUUAAUGGGGUCCAGGCACAGUGCUUGCUCUGCCGAGGCGGGGUGCCGAGGUCCUUUCGUUUUGCUUUUGUUAGUCACCCUCCUGCGGGGAGGAGUACUGUGUUUAUCAAACUGGAGAAACCUAACGGGCGGCUAUGACCUCUAGGGAAUCUUUGUAAAAGCUACGUAGUGAUACCCUGCCGGACCACCUAGGAAGUGAUCAAUGGGGAGUCAUGAUCCCCGGGCAAAACGGGAAUCACGACUCAUGGGUAAAGUGUGCGACCUCUGCAGAGGGUAAUGAAACUGAUAUAUCAGCCGUGCUCACGGUUAUGAGCGGCCUUGGGAUCCUCUUUGAUUAGAGAUACAGAUGGUUCGAGAUACAAUGGUUCUUUUUAUUAUUUCGGUUCGAUGAUGAUAAUGAGGUUUCCUCGAUGAGGAAAUGGUUCACGGGUUGGUUAUAUGAUAAAACUUGGCUUCCAUUAAUAAUAAAUAUCUGACCAACUAAAAGCAAUCUGCUUUGACCUUAACCCCACAUAAAGCUAGUCCACUACAGCCAAACGGGACAUUUGCUGAGUACGUUGAUGUGUACUCACCCUUGCUUUCACAAAACACCAGGUUGCCUUUGGUGCAAUCUCUGCUCAGGUAAAGAAGAAGUCGUCGAGGCGGAUCUCCAGGAGUUCUAGGACUUCGACGAGUUCGAGGAUUAGGCUAGCGACCUCCCCCAGUCAGCUGCCUGUGGUGGGUUGUUUACGUUGGCUACGUUUCGAUUCUGUGUACUUUGAUUUAUAUUAUGUAAAUGG
rnacentral:lncRNA from 1 species